GACAAAGUUACGCUUCUGGCACGAUGCAAGAUGGUGGAAAUCGGAGUUCGAUUCGAAGACGGUGAAGGCGAUGGCGUCGCCGUUGGUGUAAAUGAUAUCGACCUUAUUGGGGGACAUAUGGACGUUGCCGGCGAGGGUGUAGAAGUGUUGAAGGGUGAGGGAGAGGGAGGACUUGAGGGAUUCGAUGAAGGGUGCAGCGGGUUGGUCGGAG
rnacentral:misc_RNA from 1 species